UACGGAGGGUGCAAGCGUUAUCCGGAUUCACUGGGUUUAAAGGGUGCGUAGGUGGGCAAGUAAGUCAGUGGUGAAAUCUCCGGGCUUAACCCGGAAACUGCCAUUGAUACUAUUUGUCUUGAAUACUGUGGAGGUCAGCGGAAUAUGUCAUGUAGCGGUGAAAUGCUUAGAUAUGACCCGGAACACCAAUUGCGAAGGCAGCAGGCUAAACAAAGAUUGACGCUGAGGCUCGAAAGCGUGGGGAUCAAACAGG
rnacentral:rRNA from 1 species